CAAAGUAUAGCUAAGUAGAAAGCAUCUCUUUUACACGGAGCAUAUCCCUGUGCGAUUCAGGUUACUUUGA
rnacentral:tRNA from 1 species